rnacentral:tRNA from 1 species
CGGUGCGUGGCUCAGCUUGGUAGAGCGCUGCGUUCGGGACGCAGAGGUCGUGGGUUCGAAUCCCGUCGCACCGACUA